rnacentral:rRNA from 1 species
AUUGAACGCUGGCGGCAGGCCUAACACAUGCAAGUCGUACGAGUGGCGGACGGGUGAGUAAUGUCUGGGAAACUGCCUGAUGGAGGGGGAUAACUACUGGAAACGGUAGCUAAUACCGCAUACCAUCAGAUGUGCCCAGAUGGGAUUAGCUUGUUGGUGGGGUAACGGCUACCCAUGUCGACGAGCCCUAGUUGGUCUGAGAGGAUGACCAGCCACUAGUGAACAGAGACACGGUCCCGACUCUCACGGGAGGCAUCAGUGGGGAAUAUUGCACAAUGGGCGCAAGCCUAAGGCAGCCAUGCCGGUUGUAUGAAGAAGGCCUUAGGGUUGUAAAGUACUUGCAGCGGGGAGGCGUUACCCGCAGAAGAAGCACCGGCUAACGCCGUGCCAGCAGCCGCGGUAAUUC